AAGAAAAGACAAUGAUCUAAAAGAAAAAAAGAUGUGGGAAUAAACAUUUAUCUAUCUAUCUUAUUUUUCCUUGGUAGAUAUUACAUUAUAGAGUUAAUGAAGGUGAAAGGCUGAAAACAUCAAGUCAUCAAAGUUGUGAUUAAAUUAUUUAUUCCAUUUUAUUGGAUCCACGUGUAGAGAAAAUAUCUUUAACAUCAAAUGACAAAUGGCAUCCUCUAAGGGCUUCAAAUGAAGGCAGAACUAUUUUCCUCCUACUACAUCUUGGUCAGUCUGGGCACCACAGUGGUAUCAGAGGACCUCUGAAGUUGCUUCAUUGUACAACUGAGGAUACAAAGGAUCAACCCGCUGAGCCUGAAGCAACAGAUCUGCUUAUCCUUUGCUUUGAGAACAAUGUCUAG
rnacentral:lncRNA from 1 species